GACGAACGCUGGCGGCGUGCUUAACACAUGCAAGUCGAGCGGUAAGGCCCUUUCGGGGGUACACGAGCGGCGAACGGGUGAGUAACACGUGGGUGACCUGCCCUCAGCUCUGGGAUAAGCCUGGGAAACUGGGUCUAAUACUGGAUAUGACUCCACGGUGCAUGUCGUGGGGUGGAAAGCCUUGUGCGGCUGAGGAUGGGCCCGCGGCCUAUCAGCUUGUUGGUGGGGNGAUGGCCUACCAAGGCGACGACGGGUAGCCGGCCUGAGAGGGCGACCGGCCACACUGGGACUGAGACACGGCCCAGACUCCUACGGGAGGCAGCAGUGGGGAAUCUUGCGCAAUGGGCGAAAGCCUGACGCAGCGACGCCGCGUGAGGGAUGACGGCCUGGUGUAA
rnacentral:rRNA from 1 species